GCCCUGGCCCCCUUCCAAUGUAAAAACAUUAAAAGAAGUCACAUUAAGAAACAAGGUUUACCCUGAGAAGUAUGCCCAGUCCAGGGCACUGUCCUCCAUAACUGAAAAGCAAAUCCAUCAUGUAAGACCAAGGAUGAGCCUCUGAAAGCAAAUGGAAAAGCGCUUGUGGGGGUGACAAAUUCCAUCACCAUAGGAGGUGGGCUAAUGAUGUACAUAAUCCAGCCUCAUAUCUGCAUCAUGUUCUCGGCCCCAUAUGUCCUAAAGUCAUUUGGUUGAGAAAAGGAAGGGGAUUGCAUUAUUCAUGGGUAUAAGACUAUUCAUAGUACUAUUCCUGCCACUGACUAAAAUAUUUACACCUCCAUGGGGAGGUCUGAGCAGCUAGCCUUCUGGCACACCCACGUGAGUUUGUCAAGCCAUUUGAAGAAUUGGCAUCCUCAAGGGAGACAAUACCAUAUUCAGGGAAGAUAUUCAGCAUCUCUACAAAGGGGUCACCCAGCUGAGAGCUGGUGAAGCACAUUGUGUCCAGUUCAACAUACCUUUUUUGAGCCCCUGCUAGAUGUGGGCUAUAUGCCAAGAGUAAGCUCUUGCAGAUCUAAGGGCAAGUCAUAGUUCUGUUGCUUAUUGCCAUGGGAUAAUACAUGACUUAAUCUUUCCAAGUCUGAGUUUCUUCAUCUGCUAAAUGAGGAUAACAGCAAAGCCUAUGUCACCCAGAAAAAAGAAAAACACAAAAACAAAAAACUGGAGUUCACUCACCUGGCAAGUAACAAAAGACUCUCCACGAGAACACAGGUUUUCAUCAAUCAUCAGUAAGAGUUUUAUUACUUGGUGCAAGUGAGAACCCUGGGAGUAUUUUCCAAAGCAGCAUUUCCCUGAGGGAAAAUGGCAGGAGGGUUUAAUGGAGUGAUGGAUAGGAGAGAGGGCACAUUGUUGCAUGUAGAGAAGGGGUCCCAGUGAUGCAGAGGCAGUGAGUAUAUAAGCUCUGCAAAACUUCGUAAUUUUGAGCUGGUUGGGUGAUAUUUUCCAAGCCUUCUCUCUGUAACCAGUUUCAGAAAUAAAAACUCCCUCCUUUCCCAGUUCAUCUGCACCUUGUUACUGGGCCAUGAGAAUAAGCAGCUCCACCCUCCAUUUGGUCUGGGAACAAAAGUGCUAGGAUUAAAGGUGUGAGUUACUGCACCUGGCAAAACUGCCAUUUUAAAUUUAUCAGAAAGUCCUCCUCAUUAGAAUGUAAGCACCAUGAGAGCAGGAAUCUUGUCUAUCUUAUCUCUAGCUAUUUUCCCAGAGCCCAGCAGACUACCUGGCCCAUGAGAGGAGCUCAGCAUAAAGGUGUUUUUAUAAAGACUGCAGAAGUUGACUGGAAGCAGAGCAAAAGAGAGGCCCCUGGCUGCCUUCUCUAACUUCUU
rnacentral:lncRNA from 1 species